CAGUAGCCGCGGUAAUACAUAGGGUGCGAGCGUUAAUCGGAAUUACUGGGCGUAAAGCGUGCGCAGGCGGUUAUGUAAGACAGUUGUGAAAUCCCCGGGCUCAACCUGGGAACUGCAUCUGUGACUGCAUAGCUAGAGUACGGUAGAGGGGGAUGGAAUUCCGCGUGUAGCAGUGGAAUGCGUAGAUAUGCGGAGGAACACCGAUGGCGAAGGCAAUCCCCUGGACCUGUACCGACGCUCAUGCACGAAAGCGUGGGGAGCAAACAGGAUUAGAUACCCGCGUAGUCCCUGUCUCUUAUAC
rnacentral:rRNA from 1 species